rnacentral:lncRNA from 1 species
CUGAAGCAUUCAGACACCGAUGGUAGCACAGCCCGGUGACUAACAGGAGCGGAGUGGGAGAGACACCCAUACCGAGUCUAUGACUGCAGCUUUGUGCUAAUGAUAGACGUGUAAAAAUUCUUGGCAAUGAAAAAUCAGCUUGUGUGUAGAAGAACAGGAAUUUUAGUCCAAGGACUGAGCCCACAGGUACCCAGAGGCCCUUGAGGCACACGAGAGUAGGCGAAGAAAGAGCUCACUGGCCUUGUGCUGGGAGACGGACCUGCGCCAACCAGGAGGGAGGAGACAACAAAUACAUUUCCCUCGGCCCAGGAAACCUCUUUGGUGCUUGGGAUACCAAGAAACCAAGAAAUUCUCUAAUCAAAGCAUUUUAAUGGACUGCUUAUUAAAGUGCAUACAAACUCAGCAGUCCCAAUGUGGACCAGAAGCUGCAAUACACAAUGUUGAAAAAUAAAGUGAAAAGAAUGUCCACCCAUCAAACUCUGAGAUGCAGGAGUCGUAAGAGAAAGGAUUUCUGCGGGACUCAAAGAUGACUCUGGAUUUGGAUUACUCUCCAGUCCAUCCAAAAGAGCAAAGACAAUACAAGCAAAUCAACAUAGUCGCUCUUUUAUAUAUCAUAGAUCACAGAGGCCUUGUUCUCAAGCAGGAAAGGGAGCAGUGGAGGAAGGAGGAUGGGGCUGCUGAGCUGGGGAUGGCGCACUCCUGAUGCCUCAUUCUGGGAAAGGACUACUCAGGGAUGGAACUCGGGACCUUGGACUUGUGAGGCAGGCAGUGGAACCACUGAGCUACAUCCCCG